AUUGAACGCUGGCGGCAGGCUUAACACAUGCAAGUCGAGCGGGGUGAUGGUGCUUGCACUAUCACUUAGCGGCGGACGGGUGAGUAAUGCUUAGGAAUCUGCCUAUUAGUGGGGGACAACAUCUCGAAAGGGAUGCUAAUACCGCAUACGUCCUACGGGAGAAAGCAGGGGAUCACUUGUGACCUUGCGCUAUAGAUGAGCCUAAGUCGGAUUAGCUAGUUGGUGGGGUAAAGGCCUACCAAGGCGACGAUCUGUAGCGGGUCUGAGAGGAUGAUCCGCCACACUGGGACUGAGACACGGCCCAAACUCCUACGGGAGGCAGCAGUGGGGAAUAUUGGACAAUGGGGGGAACCCUGAUCCAGCCAUGCCGCGUGUGUGAGGAAGGCCUUAUGGUUGUAAAGCACUUUAAGCGAGGAGGAGGCUCUUUUGGUUAAUACCCAAGAUGAGUGGACGUUACUCGCAGAAUAAGCACCGGCUAACUCUGUGCCAGCCGCCGCGGUAAUAC
rnacentral:rRNA from 1 species